rnacentral:rRNA from 1 species
GACGAACGCUGGCGGCGUGCUUAACACAUGCAAGUCGAACGAUGAAGCCUAGCUUGCUAGGUGGAUUAGUGGCGAACGGGUGAGUAAUACGUGAGUGACCUACCUUUGACUCUGGGAUAAGCCUGGGAAACUGGGUCUAAUACCGGAUACGACCAAUCUCCGCAUGGGGUGUUGGUGGAAAGCGUUAUGGAGUGGUUUUAGAUGGGCUCACGGCCUAUCAGCUUGUUGGUGAGGUAAUGGCUUACCAAGGCGACGACGGGUAGCCGGCCUGAGAGGGUGACCGGCCACACUGGGACUGAGACACGGCCCAGACUCCUACGGGAGGCAGCAGUGGGGAAUAUUGCACAAUGGGCGCAAGCCUGAUGCAGCGACGCCGCGUGAGGGAUGACGGCCUUCGGGUUGUAAACCUUCUGUUAAGCAUUCGAAAGAAA